rnacentral:rRNA from 1 species
CAGCAGCCACGGUAAUACGGAGGGUGCAAGCGUUAAUCGGAAUUACUGGGCGUAAAGCGCACGCAGGCGGUCUGACAAGUCAGAUGUGAAAUCCCCGGGCUUAACCUGGGAACUGCAUUUGAAACUGUCAGGCUGGAGUCUUGUAGAGGGGGGUGGAAUUCCAGGUGUAGCGGUGAAAUGCGUAGAGAUCUGGAGGAAUACCGGUGGCGAAGGCGGCCCCCUGGACAAAGACUGACGCUCAGGUGCGAAAGCGUGGGGAGCAAACAGGAUUAGAUACCCUGGUAGUCCCUGUCUCUUAUAC